GAUGAACGCUAGCUACAGGCUUAACACAUGCAAGUCGAGGGGAAACGACAUCGAAAGCUUGCUUUUGAUGGGCGUCGACCGGCGCACGGGUGAGUAACGCGUAUCCAACCUGCCCAUCACUUGGGAAUAACCUUGCGAAAGUAAGACUAAUGCCCAAUGAUAUCCCACGAAGGCACUCGCGCGGGAUUAAAGAUUUAUCGGUGAUGGAUGGGGAUGCGUCUGAGUAGCUUGUUGGCGGGGUAGCGGCCCACCAAGGCGACGAUCAGUAGGGGUUCUGAGAGGAAGGCCCCCCACAUUGGAACUGAGACACGGUCCAAACUCCUACGGGAGGCAGCAGUGAGGAAUAUCGGUCAAUGGGCGAGAGCCUGAACCAGCCAAGUAGCGUGCAGGAUGACGGCCCUAUGGGUUGUAAACUGCUUUUAUAAGGGAAUAAAGUGAGUCUCGUGAGACUUUUUGCAUGUACCUUAUGAAUAAGGACCGGCUAAUUCCGUGCCAGCAGACGCCGUAA
rnacentral:rRNA from 1 species